AAGGCAAGAACCAAGCAGACAGCCAGGGAAACUUGCCCAAUGAACCCAACAAGGAUCUCUCAUUUUCAUGAGACAAAAUCCCAAUAAUGGAUUAGCAAGGCAAGUCAUCCUUGGCUACCAGACAUGAUUCUUAGCC
rfam:Lupinus angustifolius cultivar Tanjil chromosome LG12, whole genome shotgun sequence.